GACGAACGCUGGCGGCGUGCUUUACACAUGCAAGUCGAACGGUGAAGGUGGAGCUUGCUCCGCCGGAUCAGUGGCGAACGGGUGAGUAACACGUGGGCAACCUGCCCUUAACUUUGGGAUAACUACUCGAAAGAGUAGCUAAUACCGGAUAUGAAGUCUGUAGGCAUCUAUGGAUUUGGAAAGUUUUUCGGUUAGGGAUGGGCCCGCGGCCUAUCAGCUUGUUGGUGAGGUAGUGGCUCACCAAGGCGACGACGGGUAGCCGGCCUGAGAGGGCGACCGGCCACACUGGGACUGAGACACGGUCCAGACUUCUACGGGAGGCAGCAGUGGGGAAUAUUGCGCAAUGGGCGAAAGCCUGACGCAGCAACGCCGCGUGCGGGAUGAAGGCCUUCGGGUUGUAAACCGCUUUCAGCAGGGAAGAAGCGAAAGUGACGGUACCUGCAGAAGAAGCACCGGCUAACUACGUGCCAGCCGCCGCCGUAA
rnacentral:rRNA from 1 species